CCAUCUUUUGGCCAGACGACCUGGGUGUAGCCCAAAGGACAUUUUUGUCAUUAUACAUGAGAAGCUUCCUACUGUAUCGACUCCAACAAUAUCCAUUCUUCUCUCAACAUACGCAAAGAUUUUGAUGCACUCUCAACCACCAGAUCCCGAAUUACAAAACCAGAUCUGGGCAAUAUUCAGCAAAUAUGAAACAUGCAUUGAUACUGAGAUACAACAAAGAGCUGU